AUGGUCGUCGGGGUCUUGGCGGGUUCCAGAACAAUAGGGGAAUGGAGGGAGACGAAGCCGGAGCGGGUGGUCAAUGCCCAUGGCGAUUCAGGGUGUGGUGCGGGGCUGCAGGCCGACACUACUGGCGAUCUGGGGACACCAGGACCCGAAGCAGAGGAGCAGGGGAGGAGCUGGGAAGCAGCGGCUGCAGCAGGAGCUUGGGGCCAUGGCUGCAUGACAGGAGAGGAGGAGGGCGCGACGAAGGGACGGCACGACUCGGUUGGCCGAGGAGGUCGACAACGGCCAUGCUUUAGCGGCCUCGGUCGCUGGCAGCAGAGGUGCGAGGCAAUCUGCAGCCUCGUGGUGGUCACGGACGGCGGCAAUGCUGGAGACAGAAGGAAUGGCGCGAAGGACGGGCGGCUUGGGCGGCAGGAUGUGCAGAAGGGAGCAGGAAGCAGAGGCCGACGGGCAGCGGGGAUGGCCAACAGGGACGAACCCCAAGGGCGGCGGUGCUGCAAUCCUCCAUGGCCUCAACGUGGUUCCUGUUCAUUUGGUCGCUGGUCGUCGGCGCGUGGAGGAGCAAGGGCGAGGCAGAGGGGUUCCUCUGGAGGUGCGAGGUGGAGGAAAGGAGGAGUGGGGAUCGGGCAGCGCGCGCAUGGUGGUGGUGUUGGACGCGGGCCUGCUCGAAGGAACGAGGGGAGGGGAUCGAUGGAGGGAGAAGCGGCAGACAGAGGGAGAGAUGGGAUCGAGCUCCUGGCGGCGCUACAGGAUCGAGCAGCGGAGCAAGAGGGGGGGUUUCGAUCGGGCUAG
rnacentral:rRNA from 1 species